UGAGACAGGUGCUGCAUGGCUGUCGUCAGCUCGUGUUGUGAAAUGUUGGGUUAAGUCCCGCAACGAGCGCAACCCUUAUCCUUUGUUGCCAGCGAUUCGGUCGGGAACUCAAAGGAGACUGCCGGUGAUAAACCGGAGGAAGGUGGGGAUGACGUCAAGUCAUCAUGGCCCUUACGAGUAGGGCUACACACGUGCUACAAUGGCGCAUACAAAGAGAAGCGACCUCGCGAGAGCAAGCGGACCUCACAAAGUGCGUCGUAGUCCGGAUCGGAGUCUGCAACUCGACUCCGUGAAGUCGGAAUCGCUAGUAAUCGUGGAUCAGAAUGCCACG
rnacentral:rRNA from 1 species